CAGAGAACGUGCCUCCGGGCGCAUCUCCCACCCUGUGUCUACCUUACCUCUGUUGCUUUGGCGGGUCCGUCUCACGACCACCGGCUCCUGCUGGUCCGUGCCCGCCAGAGGACCACAAACUCUGAUUAUCUUGCCGUCUGAGUAACUAUACAAAUACGUUA
rnacentral:misc_RNA from 1 species